rnacentral:rRNA from 1 species
UACGGAGGGUGCAAACGUUGCUCGGAAUCAUUGGGCGUAAAGCGCACGUAGGCGGCGCGUUAAGUCGGGUGUGAAAGCCCUGGGCUCAACCCAGGAAGUGCAUCGAAACUGGCGCGCUUGAAUAUGGAAGAGGGUCGCGGAAUUCCCGGUGUAGAGGUGAAAUUCGUAGAUAUCGGGAGGAACACCAGUGGCGAAGGCGGCGACCUGGGCCAAUAUUGACGCUGAGGUGCGAAAGCGUGGGGAGCAAACAGG